CCUGGGAACUGCAUUUGUGACUGCAAGGCUAGAGUACGGUAGAGGGGGAUGGAAUUCCGCGUGUAGCAGUGAAAUGCGUAGAUAUGCGGAGGAACACCAAUGGCGAAGGCAAUCCCCUGGACCUGUACUGACGCUCAUGCACGAAAGCGUGGGGAGCAAACAGGAUUAGAUACCCUGGUAGUCCACGCCCUAAACGAUGUCAACUGGUUGUUGGACGGCUUGCUGUUCAGUAACGAAGCUAACGCGUGAAGUUGACCGCCUGGGGAGUACGGCCGCAAGGUUGAAACUCAAAGGUUUUGACGGGGACCCGCACAAGCGGUGGAUGAUGUCGUUUGGUUCGAUGCAAUCCCAAAAACCUUACCUACCCUUGACAUGUCAAGAAAAUUGCAGAGAUGUGAAAGUGCUCGAAAGAGAACUUGAACACAGGUGCUGCAUGGCCGUCGUCAGCUCGUGUCGUGAGAUGUUGGGUUAAGUCCCGCAACGAGCGCAACCCUUGUCAUUAGUUGCUACGAAAGGGCACUCUAAUGAGACUGCCGGUGACAAACCGGCGGAAGGUGGGGAUGACGUCAGGUCCUCAUGGCCCUUAUGGGUAGGGCUACACACGUCAUACAAUGGCCGGUACAGAGGGCUGCCAACCCGCGACCGGGAGCCAAUCCCAGAAAACUCGUCGUAGUCCGGAUCGCAGUCUGCAACUCGACUGCGUGAAGUCGGAAUCGCUAGUAAUCGCGGAUCAGCCUGCCGCGGUGAAUACGUUCCCUGGUCUUGUACACACCGCCCGUCACACCAUGGGAGCGAGUUCUGCCAGAAGUAGUUAGCCUAACCGCAAGGAGGGCGAUUACCACGGCAGGGUUCGUGACUGGGGUGAAGUCGUAACAAGGUAAC
rnacentral:rRNA from 1 species